rnacentral:misc_RNA from 1 species
AACCAUUCUCACCUGCGGCUAGACCUGCGGAAGGAUCAUUAACAAACAAAGAAUCUCAUAUUCUUAAACCCCAAUCUGAGUACUUGUACUUGUUGCUUCCGUGGUCUGUAAGCAUUAUGCUUGCAUCUACCUUCAUGGGUGGAUCCACGGAAGGUAUACUUAUAUAAACUCUUGUUAUUUUGUGGUAUCAGUCUGAUUAUGUUCAAAGAAUAAAUGUUAAAACUUUCAGCAAUGGAUCUC